rnacentral:rRNA from 1 species
UACGUAGGGUGCGAGCGUUAAUCGGAAUUACUGGGCGUAAAGCGUGCGCAGGCGGUUUUGUAAGUCUGACGUGAAAUCCCCGGGCUCAACCUGGGAAUUGCGUUGGAGACUGCAAGGCUGGAGUCUGGCAGAGGGGGGUAGAAUUCCACGUGUAGCAGUGAAAUGCGUAGAGAUGUGGAGGAACACCGAUGGCGAAGGCAGCCCCCUGGGUCAAGACUGACGCUCAUGCACGAAAGCGUGGGGAGCAAACAGG